CUGCGGUCAAGGUCGUUUUCCCUAUUCCGCCCAUAUCAUGUUAAAGUUUACACCUUUAACAAGGUAUGGGAGGUAUGGAAUGCGACCUUGGCGACA
rnacentral:misc_RNA from 1 species